UACGGAGGGGGCUAGCGUUGUUCGGAAUUACUGGGCGUAAAGCGCACGUAGGCGGCUUUGUAAGUUAGAGGUGAAAGCCCGGGGCUCAACUCCGGGAAUUGCCUUUAAGACUGCAUCGCUAGAAUUGUGGAGAGGUAAGUGGAAUUCCGAGUGUAGAGGUGAAAUUCGUAGAUAUUCGGAAGAACACCAGUGGCGAAGGCGACUUACUGGACACAUAUUGACGCUGAGGUGCGAAAGCGUGGGGAGCAAACAGG
rnacentral:rRNA from 1 species